UAGGGAAUCUUCCACAAUGGACGCAAGUCUGAUGGAGCAACGCCGCGUGAGUGAAGAAGGUCUUCGGAUCGUAAAGCUCUGUUGUUGGUGAAGAAGGAUAGAGGCAGUAACUGGUCUUUAUUUGACGGUAAUCAACCAGAAAGUCACGGCUAACUACGUACCAG
rnacentral:rRNA from 1 species